GAUUAACGCUGGCGGCGUGCCUAACACAUGCAAGUCGAGCGGCAGCGAGUUUUACACUGAAUUCUGGAAGCUUCUAGUUGAAAGAGAAGAUUUAUUCAAGAAUUUUGUGUAAAAUGUCGGCGAGCGGCGGACGGCUGAGUAACGCGUGGGAACGUACUCCAAAGUGAGGGAUAACGCAUCGAAAGGUGUGCUAAUACCGCAUAUGGUCUUCGGAUUAAAGCCUUCGGGCGCUUUGGGAACGGCCUGCGUAAGAUUAGAUAGUUGGUGGGGUAAUGGCCUACCAAGUCGACGAUCUUUAACUGGUUUGAGAGGAUGAUCAGUCAGACUGGAACUGAGACACGGUCCAGACUCCUACGGGAGGCAGCAGUGAGGAAUCUUCCACAAUGGGCGAAAGCCUGAUGGAGCAACGCCGCGUGCAGGAUGAAGGCCUUCGGGUUGUAAACUGCUUUUAUAAGUGAGGAUUAUGACAGUAACUUAUGAAUAAGGAUCGGCUAACUACGUG
rnacentral:rRNA from 1 species